rnacentral:snRNA from 1 species
GUGCUCGCUUUGACAGCACAUAUACUAAAAUUGGAAGGAUACAGAGAAGAUUAGCAUGGCCCCUGCACAAAGAUGACACGCAAUUCGUGAAGCGUUCCUGAGGAGA